rnacentral:rRNA from 1 species
AGUGAACGCUGGCGGUAGGCCUAACACAUGCAAGUCGAACGGCAGCACAGUAAGAGCUUGCUCUUACGGGUGGCGAGUGGCGGACGGGUGAGGAAUACAUCGGAAUCUACUUUUUCGUGGGGGAUAACGUAGGGAAACUUACGCUAAUACCGCAUACGACCUACGGGUGAAAGCAGGGGAUCUUCGGACCUUGCGCGAUUGAAUGAGCCGAUGUCGGAUUAGCUAGUUGGCGGGGUAAAGGCCCACCAAGGCGACGAUCCGUAGCUGGUCUGAGAGGAUGAACCGCCAAACUGGAACUGGAACACGGGCCAGACUCCUACGGGAGGCAGCAGUGGGGAAUAUUGGACAAUGGGCGCAAGCCUUAUCCAGCCAUACCGCGUGGGUGAAGAAGGCCUUCGGGUUGUAAAGCCCUUUUGUUGGGAAAGAAAAUCAGCAGGUUAAUACCCCGCUGUUCUGACGGUACCCAAAGAAUAAGCACCGGCUAACUUCGUG